UUUUGAUCUAUUUUUUUUUUUCUGCAGGUCUGCUAUCGUACCAGUCCAAGCUGCUUUUGUUAGCAAGACAUUAUGGUGUAGUUUAAGGAAGUUCCUGGAAUUGUCUCUGGAGAUGAUGAAUCGGCCCUUCACAGAGUCUGCAUAGUGCGUCCUACUGCCAUUCCAACUAACACCCGAUACCCACUCCAGCCCCUUUCCUGGAGCCUGGCGGACCCAGUUCAUGUCACUGUUACUGAAGGUGAAUCCAGAGGCUGCACAGGAGAGUCUCAGGGACCCCCCAGGCUCUACCAAGCCUCCCCCAGACUCCACCAGCUGCACUGUUGUACCCAGGUGAGUUAAGAAAACGCCACACUUUGAGACGAAUUAAGAGUCCUUUAUUAAGCCGGCUGCCAAAGAGACAGCUCAUGCUCAAAAUUCUCUCGGCCACGAGGAAGGGGCUCGAGUAAAUUUUAUACCUAGGUUUAGGAAGGGGAGAGGGACUCAAAUGUAAUAAUUUUACAGAAGUAAAAACAUGCAAGAAUCAAAAUAAUCAAAAUAGUUACAGAGUGAUAAACAACUUAAAAGACAAAUGGUUACAAGAAGAGCAACGGUACCAGGUGCAAGGUUCUAAAUCUUUUAUUAUAAUUAGAUAUAGGGUCUAUGCCGGACACAAACUCAAGGUUUCAUGUUGUUAUCUCUUGGAGAAAAUUCCUGGGAACUUCAUACAUUGUUGGUGUGGGUACCUUAUCAGUUAAUUGGGCUCCUUUGAAAUGCUGAGGAUCUGUUUACCCAGGCCAACUCCUCACGAAAGGGGGUUGGGUGAGGAGCCCUUAGUGUCUUGUAAACUAAGGGGUCAAUUGGAGUUUGUCUGGCUUUCCUAGCUAGAGAGAGUCUUAUUUACAUGAGAAGCAAGGUUAGGUGAUUAAAGAGACAAGCAGGACAAAAUUCAAAGUAACGAGUUAAAGUAAAAACACCGUUAGGCAUUUCAUUUCCCCACUUGUGUUUUAGGGGAAUCAAGUCGUUGAUUCUUCAGUUACAACAAGGGGGUUAUAUUGAGUUCUUAGAUACAUAAGUUUGACAGACGCUAUACGUUGUUUUACAAAAUCAAGGAACCAAUUUAAUAUACAAGGGCCAAAAAUUAAACUCAAUAAUAUGAUGAUGAUGGGUCCAGCUAAACCAGUGAUUAAAGUAGUUAACCAGGGGUUCCAAUUGAACAUGCUUUGAUACCAGGCUGUGUUAUUUUCUCGUUCUUGUUGGCUCCUAUCUAGAUUUUUUUGAACUUUUUGGAGUGUAUCUUUUAUGACUCCAGAUUGAUUGGCGUAAAAGCAACAGCUUUCUCCUAGAGCUGUGCAUAAUCCUCCUUGAGAGAGGAACAGCAGAUCUAAGCCUCGGCAGUUUUGAAGUACUACUUCAGCUAGAGACUCUACCUGGGAAUGUAGUAUAUCUAUGGCAGACUGAAGAUUAUUUAAAUCAGCAUCUACCUGUUGGGACAAAGACAUUAGUCCAGUUUCUCCUCGAACUAGGGCAGCUGUACUAAUAGCUGCUGACCCAGCUAUGCUAAGACCGGCUAAAAGAGAAACCAGUAGUGGGGCAGCUCUGCGUAGCCUGGGAUGUAAUUCCGGGGGAGCAAUGAGGAGUUGUCCUUCUGAUCCACUGUACUCGUAUACCUGGGGAAGGACAUGAACUAGAACACACAAGAGGGGUUCUGAUUUAGUUCCAUUAAGGCAGCGAGUGAGACCUGAGGUGCAGGCCAACCAGGUAUUGUUAGGUGCUUGGUAAGAGACUGAGAUGCUCAUGGGAGUAAGCAGAGACUGAUUACAGAUAGCCUGAAAAGGAGAAAUAGAUAAGUCAUAUCCAGUACUAAUUAGACAAGAAGCACUUCCAGACACAUCUCCUAAUGUGAAAGCAUGAGGUUGUGCAUGACAGGAUAAAGGACUACCUUUAAGUGCGACUUCUACUCCUAAUCCUAUAUAAUAUGGGGGUUUUGCUUUUAAACAUAGCCAACAAUCUUGGGCUAGUGUAGGCUGGCUGAGGUUAAGAAAAUGAUGUACUCCACCAAGUAUAGACAUCAGACUGGGUUGGAGUUGAUGUCUUUGUAGCUGGGUCUUAGGAACUGAGAAUGGUGGGGGCACAGUUAAAUUAACUUUGUCAGGGUGAUUUUGGAACAUAGGGUCACCUAGAUCAGUUAAAGGUCCGAUUGGCUUGGGUGGGCUCCAGGGGACCAAAAUUUUCUUUUGGAUGGUGAACAUAGUUCCAACAUCGAACCCUGGGACAUAAAGUCUUAAUCCCCAUGACAUACCAUAGUACCAUUGAGCUGAAUUAGGUUCAUGGACAAUGAUGUUAAGAGGGUUACAAUUAUUUUUAGAACACGAUUUGGGACGAGAAGCACGACUUAUUGACAGAGUUGGAGAUCUAGUUGAUCCCCCAGAGUAAGUGGCUAAAGUUACACAUGCCCAAUCCGGGCGGACGAACUGGUAGGUAUCUCAACAGCUAGCAUCAGGGUGAUUUUCAGGACAGAGGUAAAAGUCAACCUUUUGGAGUCCUUUUUCAGCACCUUUGGAGCUUCCACAUCUGGCUUGGCUCCCAGAGUGUCCAAAUCCUGCUGCAAGGUCGACACCUCCUGCUCCCAUGACUGGCAGGUCGCGAUGAUCUUCGUGGGUACCAGCCGGCUCCGGGAACAGUAUACACAAGUCGACUGCAAAGGUGACUUCCUUGGAGGUACCAGCCUUCCAAGUAGUAUUGGCGAAAACACGUCCUGUUGUGAGAGAGGUGAGGGGGAAGGAGUAGGAAGGCACAGAAGACAUUACAGGCAAGGAUAAACAAAAGAAGCAAAUAAAAAGAGUUAAUUUAACAGUUUCACCCGACUUAGGUGUAGUUUUAAGGGUCCUGAUCCAGGCUUGGGGACCCAUGUUUCUGUUUGGGCUUUGUUGGCCUUUUUGAUGUGGGAGUGAUGAAUCCAAGCAGGAAUUCCGUCCACCUUCAGAGCUGUUGGCGUCGUGAGGAUGACGGUGUGAGGUCCCUUCCAAGCAGGAGUUAGGCCCUCUCUCUGGAACUUUUUAACAAACACCAGGUCACUGAGCUGGAAUGAAUGGCAGGGCCCCAUCUGGUCAGGAACUGGACUGGGAUGGGCUUCUCAAACAAGUGGCAGAAUGAUCUCUUGUACCUGUUGGAGAGACUGCAGGUACUGUAAUAAAUUAGCUUGUGAUAUUUCUGCAAAAUGGGCAUCUUUUAGCUUAGGCAAGAUAGGUGGUGCCCGCCCAUAUAUAAUUUCAAAAGGUGAGAACCCAGCCUGAUAAGGGGUGCACCUUACUCUAAGUAGGGCUAAAGGAAGGAGUUUUACCCAAUUUUCACUGGUGUCUAGAAUUAAUUUUGUAAGAGUAUUUUUUAGGGUAUGGUUCAUGCAUUCCACCUGUCCAGAGCUCUGGGGUUGAUAGGCACAAUGGAGCUUCCACUGAAUGUUUAAUGCCUUACUGACUGAUUGAGCUAUGGACGAGGUGAAGGCAGGUCCAUUAUCAGACCCUAUGGCAGCAGGCAACCCGUACCAGGGGAUGAUUUCAUUGAGUAAGAACUUAACUACUGUGUUAGCUGUCUCGUUCUUGGUAGCAAAUGCCUCAGUCCAUCCGGAGAAGGUGUCUACUGAUACUAAAAGGUACUUGUACACAGCCCGGUGUGGCUUUACCUCUGUAAAGUCAAUUUCCCACUUUUCUCCUGGCGAGUUUCUUCGGAGACGGUGACCUGGGCUGGGUUUAGGACCUUGCUUGGCAUUUACCUGGGCGCAGGCUGUGCACCAGAGAACUGCUUGAUCUGUUAGGCUUUGUAGAUGAGGGAUCUUAAAACAGCUCCGGAGGAGCUGAGCUAAUUUUGUCCCACCAAAUGGGUGGUAGAAUGUAGGUGACUGACUAAAGUUUCUCCAAGAGCUGGGGGUACGAAGAUUCUAGAGUCAGGAAGAAUCCACCAACCUUUUUGAUUUUUAUUUGCUCUAAGGUUUGCAGCCAGUUUUUCUUCUUCUGUUGAGUACGCGGGGUUGUCAGGCAGAUCUGGCUGUGGAAAAGAAACUGCCGGUAGCAGGUUUAUGGACGGAGCUGAAGACAGCGCCACUUCCCGAGCUGCUGAAACCGCUUUUGGGUUACCGCGGGCAACAGCCGUGUUUUCUUUUUGAUGUCCUUUACAAUGGAUUACAGCCACUUGUUGAGGGAGCCACACAGCUUCAAGCAGGGCUAAAAUUUCCUCUUUGUUCUUAAUUAUUUUUCCUUCUGACCUGAGCAACCCGCGUUCUUAGUAGAUGGCUCCAUGUACAUGCACAGUAGCGAAAGCAUACCUGCUGUCAGUAUAAAUGUUAAUACGUUUAUCUUUAACCCAUCGGAGAGCUUGAGUAAGGGCAAUCAAUUCAGCUUUUUGUGCUGAGGUGCUUGCCGGUAAAGCCUGAACCCACAACACAUCUGUCUCUGUGGUAACAGCUGCACCAGCUUUGCGUAUCCCCUGUUCGAGAAAACUGCUGCCGUCGGUGAACACGGUGGCGUCCGCCUUUCUCAGGAGCACAUCUUGAAGAUCUGGCCUGCCAGUUUCGGUAGCUUCUAACAGCUCCUGACAGUCAUGGACAGGAGUAUUAGAAUCUGGAUCUGGGAGUAAAGUAGCAGGAUUUAAACACCUUGUGGGAGAGAAAGUCAAACAAGGCUGAUCCAACAGUAAACUCUGAUAUUGUAAAAUACGAGCAUUUGACAUCCAUUUACCUGAAGCACUUCGUAGUCAAGUCUCUACAGCAUGAGGAACUGUAAGGGUUAAAUUCUGGCCUAGAGUUAAUUUAUCAGUUUCUUGGACUAGGCUUGCUGUAGCCACUAUGGCUGGCAAACAACUUGGCCAUCCUGAGGCCACAGGAUCCACCUUCUUAGAUAAAUAAGCCACUGGGCCUCUCCAAGUUCCUAAAGUCUGAGUAAGCACUCUCUUAGCAACUCCCUGGCUCUCAUGGACAAACAGAUGAAAAGGCUUUGAGAUAUUUGGGAGGGCUAAAGCCUGGGCUGCAGUUAAAGCCUUUUUCAGAUUCUGAAAAGCCUGUUCCUCGGUGUCUGUCCAAAUCAGUGGGCCAUUACCUUUUGUAGCAGUAUACAAAGGCUUUGUAAUCUCUGCAAACCCCGAUAUCCAAAGACGACAAUAUCCCAGGGCUCCUAGGAAUUCAUGUACCUGUCUCUUGGUGGCGGGAGUGGGGAUUCGCAGGAUGGCUUCUUUCCGGGCACUAGUGAGUGCCUUUUUUCCUUUGUUUAUCUUGUACCCCAGGUAGGACACUCUGGGAAGACAAAGCUGGGCCUUUUUGGCUGAGACUCCAUACCCGAGCUCCUGAAGGAGGUAGAGCAGGUCUCUUGUGUGUUGUAGACAACCAUCCAUAGUUUCAGUUGUUAUUAAAAUGUCAUCUACAUAUUGGAGAAGAGUACAGUUAAGGUGACUGGCUCGGAAGGGUAUAAGAUCUUGCUGAAGAGCCUCUCCAAAAAGGGUAGGGGAAUUUUUAAAACCCUGAGGUAACUGAGUCCAAGUCAGUUGGGUAGUGUCUCCUGAUCUUGGAUCUGUCCAUUUGAAAGCAAAAAUCGGCUGGAUUUUGGGGGCCAGAGGGAUAGCAAAGAAAGCAUCUUUCAGGUCAAGGACAGUGUAUACUGUAUGUUCUGGUGGGAGCAGGCUGAGUAGAGUAUAGGGAUUAGGAAUGGUUGGGUGGACAGCAACAGUCCAUUUAUUAACGUCCCUUAAGUCUUGUACUGGCCAGUAAUCAUUUGUUCCAGGUUUCUGGACCGGCAAAAAUGGCGUGUUCCAGGCCGACUGGCAUGGGGGUUCAAGGAGUGAGAGCAGAGCGAAGUCUUGGAGACGCUGAACUUGCUGUUGCACUGGAAAACGAGAUGUGCGGGAUUUCCAAAAGAAGGAUGGAAGAUAGAAGAGAGAGAGAGAGGUCUGCCAGAAACCAAGGCUUAGCUCUCCAGCGUCCUGGGUCUUGAGCUAAGUCAAGGGAGGGUCCUGGUCAGGACCACUUCCCACCCAAACCAAGAUACGAAGGCGCCUACCGGAAAACGAAGGCUCAACCCACUAGCAUCCUAGAGUAAUGGGCUGAGUCAAAAGAGGGACGCCCUCGUCAGGGCCGCUCCCCUCUCACCGGAAACGAAGUCACAUCCGACCUACCUGACCCCGGGGUCAGAAGCUGAGGACUCAGCGCCCUCGUCAGGGCCGCUCCCCUCUCACCGGAAACGAAGUCACAUCCGACCUACCUGACCCCGGGGUCAGAAGCUGAGGACUCAGUGCCCUCGUCAGGGCCGCUCCCCUCUCACCGGAAACGAAGUCACAUCCGACCUACCUGACCCCGGGGUCAGAAGCUGAGGACUCAGCGCCCUCGUCAGGGCCGCUCCCCUCUCACCGGAAACGAAGUCACAUCCGACCUACCUGACCCCGGGGUCAGAAGCUGAGGACUCAGAUGUUGACUUUUAGGGCGCUGACACAGUGGUCGAUCCGCUCUCCUCUGGAAGGCGGUCACUCUUUGCAGACCUGAAAAUUCUUUCCUCAGGUGGUGUCCCUCCUCCGAGCUGGCCAUCCUUCCGGGGGAGCCCGGAGCGAGACCGGCUCUCGCCCAGUGGUGUUAAUAUCUCGCUGCGGCCUCCAAAAAUGUUGUACCCAGGCGAGUUAGAGAAAACGCCACACUUUGAGACGAAUUAAGAGUCCUUUAUUAAGCCAGCGGCCAAAGAGACGGCUAAUGCUCAAAAUUCUCUGGGCCCCGAGGAAGGGGCUUGAUUAACUUUCAUACCUAGGUUUAGGAAGGGGAGGGGAACUCAAGUGCAAUAAUUCUACGGAAGUAAAAACAUGCAAGAAUCAAAAGAAGCAAAAUGGUUACAGAGAGAUAAACAAUUUAAAAGACAAAUGGUUACAAAAAGAGCAACAGUACCAGGUGCAGGGCUCUAAAUCUUUCAUUAUAAUUAGAUAUAGGGGCUAUGCCGGGCAUGAACUCAAGGCUUUAUGUUGUUAUCUCCUUGAGAAAAAUCCUGGGAACUUCAUACAUUGUUGGUGCUAGUACCUUAUCAGUUAACUGGGCUCCUUUGAAAUGCUGAGAAUCUGUUUACACAGGUUAACUCCUUACGGAAGGGGGUUGGGUGAGGAGCCCUUAGUGUCUUGUAAAUUAAGGGGUCAAUUGGAGUUUGUCCAGCUUUCCCAGCUAGAGAGAGUCUUACUUACAUGAGAAGCAAGGCUAGGUGAUUAAAGAGACAAACAGGGAAGAUUCAAAGUAGUGAGUUAGAGUGAAAACAAGGUUAGGCAUUUCAACUGACCACAAUACUCAGACAACAGCUCCCCCGCUACCCAGGAAAAAAAAAUAGCUGGCAUUCACUACAAAGCACUAUGAUUAAAUGUGUACUACAGGUCCCAAGGCUGCAGACAACCACAGACACUGUUAUCUGGCAUAGCAUUUUAAGGGCUCAGAGUUCUCAUCAGGAGGUAACUGAGAGCCAUAAAUGAACAAUGUUUUUCAGGAAUGUGCAGGGUUUAAACAAUCCAGGUCUGCUGAGUUAACCUUCUACUGUACACAAAUCCAGAUUAGAGGGCAGCAGGGACGUUCAAUGGAUGGCCAGACUCAGGAGAGAGGGUAGAGAUGGUCAGGUUAGGACCCCAAGGAGCAGCCUGGGAGACUGUAGGAGUGAAACUGAGAACCUCCUGAGGGGCCUAUGGGUGUACAUAGCUGUGAGUUUAACUAAAGCUGUUGGGUUUCCCAGGAGCCCAAGAAAAUGGUACUACAGUGAAGGGUGUGGGGAAGUGGCCAUAAACGUCAGUGGGUGUGUGCAGGAGGGGAAGGGAGCCAAUGGAGUUAAGAAAGAGGAAAGAGACCAAGGGAUAUGGGCAUUCCUUACAGAAGCAGGUUCAGAAAUAAGCUUUCAGAUGCCUCUUGCCUGGACUUCCAUCAAUAUGUCAAAUAUAAAUUUGAGGUAUGUUUCCCAUCUGACAAAUACCACAGAGUGAGGAAAGAGCUGGAGGCGUUGCUAGGAGAGAACACCCUGGACGUGACCACAGCCCCUUUUGUCCUCACACUGCCCUGCCUGUCCUCUAUCCUCACAGCGUGGAGGUUCUCAUCUUUGCCCUGCCUGUCCUCUAUCCUCACAGCGUGGAGGUUCUCAUCUUUGUCCUGUGGUGGGAAAAACAUCUGGUUCUUGGAACACUAAGAAGACCUCCAGAAUCAUGUAGGUGAUUACGUCUACUAUAAAUCUUGCAUUUCCAAACAA